rnacentral:rRNA from 1 species
CCUACGGUGAGCAGCAGUCGAGAAUCAUUCACAAUGGGGGAAACCCUGAUGGUGCGACGCCGCGUGGGGGAAUGACGGUCUUCGGAUUGUACACCCCUGUCAUGUGGGAGCAAAUUAAAAAGAUAGUACCACAAGAGGAAGCGACGGCUAACUCUGUGACAGCAGCCGCGGUAAUACAGAGGUCUCAAGCGUUGUUCGGAAUCACUGGGCGUAAGGCGUGCGUAGGCUGUUUCGUAAGUCGUGUGUGAAGGGCGCGGGCACACCCCGCGGACGGCACAUGAUACUGCGAGACUAGAGUAAUGGAGGGGGAACCGGAAGUCUCGGUGUAGCAGUGAAAUGCGUAGAUAUCGAGAGGAACACUCGUGGCGAAGGCGGGUUCCUGGACAUUAACUGACGCUGAGGCACGAAGGCCAGGGGAGCGAAAGGGAUCAGAUACCCCGGUAGUC